ensembl:lncRNA
UGCCCUUAUCAUUUUCUGCUCAGAUGCUGUGGAUGCAGAUGUCUAUGGAUGGAUGUUUUGGUGUCUAAUUCCCCCUUCAUUAAGCCUCACAGCAGUGUGUUUUUAAUCCAAAAAUGCUCAGAUAUUCAGUAAAGCUGCCUUAAAGCAAACACACAUAAUUACAGCUGAGAGCCCUGUAUUGGAGUGUGUGAUUGUAUAUUGCUUGUGUAGAGUGUCAAGCGUGCGUGCUGCACAUUGUGCCUGGAGAGAUUGAUGUUUUGUCAUCCACCUGCUUCUAAGCUGUAAAGGCAAGCGCAGCAAAGGCAAACCUACCCAGCUUCAAAAUCCAAACAAAGAAAUCUUAGUGGGCUGUUUACAUAUCUGUGCAAGGAUAUCUGUGCUUGUGUUGACGGGGUGCUAGAGUGGCUGAGAGAUCAGUCCCCGCACAAUGGACGAGUGGGAAAUCAAAGACUGGAAUGCUGGGGAAACUGACAGAGGGGUGAGCUCUGGAAAGGAGGACGGAUACUUCCUGUUCCUGCUGGAGUGACCCGCAGGUCUGAGGAGGAGUGAGGGAGAGGAAGGCAGAGAAAGCGAGUUUUCUUUGAAGUACCCUGUGUAAACAUACCUCUGAUUGGGACUCACUGAUGUAAUGGACAAACAAGCACAAAAUGUGUCGAUAUCCAGAUCAAAUCUCCCAGGGUUCUUUUACAGUGAUUUGCUGCCAGCUUCACCCUUGGCCAGAGUGCAGUAGUGAAACCGGAAGUGACAGUGCCAGGUUUGGCCUGUACUGUUUCUCUCCUAGUAUUAAUCCAGCAGCCCCUCUACUCUUUGAGAAAGACCUCAUUACCAGCCUCAUUGAUUGUGCUUCCUGCAUCAACGACCACAGCUUCUUCUACCACACCAACUGAGAGAGAGAGAGAGAGAGAAGGAGGCUUAGCCCAGUGCAUCUGUGUGUCCUGCAUUAUGGGUAGGGAGGUAAGCAGUAGGCAGGAGGUUUAUGGUGCUGUAAUUGGUAGUUAGUGUGAUAUUUGUAAGACAAAUAGAGCUAUAUGUGCUAUUCCUCCUCUCUCUCCUCUCUAGUCUUUACAGCCACCAAAGGGCCUCAUUAUAGCCCACCGCAGCCCAGGCCUCACUGCACCGCACACACACAUGAAGGGCAGGAAGUUGUGUGUGACAGUGUGGCUGCCAGGACUGAUAGAUGAUACAGUAAGUGUGGUAUUCAUUGAGAGAGGACCCUGACGGUCGGGGGAAUGAAACAGCUCUUCAUUAUAUCGCAACCCGGUGGACGUUUUACACUCACGCUGUGCGCGGCGGGACUGACCGAGUUUACUGUGGUCACUCAUGCAUAUGUGGGGUUCUGAAUUAACUUUUUUACAAGACCUGCCAAUGGUGAGCAAAUCUGGAUAACAACCAUCUAUCACUGUGUUGUUAUUGUUAACUAAAACUAUUAUAUAUUGUUUUUACUUUUUUUUUUUUUUUUUUUUGGUCAUUAAAAUAAAGAUGACAUAAAGUAAAAUAUAAAUAUUAAAUUUAAAAAAAUAAAAUAAAAUGCUGCCUUGCCAACUAUUUGAAAUUAAAGUACUAAAAUUACUAAAACUAAAAUAUAUAUAAUUAUAAAAACUCAUUCAAAUUACAGAAGCAAAUUAUAGAAUUACCAAAUGUUUUUAGAAAAUUAGAAAAUUAAAACAAAAACUGAAAAUAUGAAAAUAAAAGAUUAUAAAAGUGAUUAAUAAAUACUAUAACAGUAAUACUAAAAUAUACAGUAAUGCAGUAGCACUCUCUCUCUCUCUCUCUCUCUCUCUCUAUAUGUAUAUAUAUUUAAACAAAAAAUGAUGAAAGCCAAUUAUUAAAACGUAAAAUGAAAACUGAGCAAAUAUAUAUAUAAAUUUUUAAAAAAUCAAAUUAAUAAUAAUACUAUAUAAAUAAUACUAAAUAACGUGAAUGUGUAGUAAACUGCUGUUCCUGCCACUUGAUAAAUAUUCAGUAUUUGUUGCAUGAAAAUGAACUGCAAGGAGGUGCAGUUAGCAGUGAGAACUCACUUUCUUUCAUCCUCUCUGAGCCGGCUGCUGUUUAUUCGUGAAUGUGUGCUCGUCUGCGUGCCUGUCCCCUCCUUUAAAGGAACUGGAGUGGGCCGCAGGGUAGAUUACUGCUGAAAUCACGGCUUGUUCUCUAGCUGUCGGCUACCAAGUGUGAGCACACUUCAACUCUAGAAAGAGAAGAUUAAAAAAGAAAAAGAAUUAGAGAACUAAAGCAUCUGAAACUAUAUAUACACACAUAUAUAUGUAAACAAAAGCCUCUGUUCUGUAGUACAAUUAAUUGUGAUGCUGUAAAACAGUAAACGAUCUGAGAGGAGUAAAUAAGGUGGGUUUUUUUCCUUGUUUUCAUUAAAAACAGCAUCAGCACUCAUUCUCUUUGCCGUCACACCAGCAUUCUGGAUUCGUAUUCCUGGAUGCACAAACAGUGUGUAAUUAUCCCAGCCUCCCUGCUGUCCUUUCUCUCUCUCUCUCUCUCUCUCUCUCCCUCAUUCGGUCUCUGCAUAUCCCACACUGGAGAGACUGAGACCCAAGAUGAUUCUCUCUCUCUCGCUGUCACUGUCACACAAGAGGAAAAGAGCUCCUCUCUUCAUUACAGAAGGACCUGAUCCAACUUGAAAGAUGCAGCCAUUAUUCUUGACUGUCUGGACUCCCCCCUCUCUUCCCUGUCACAGGCUUAUUGUUUGGCCUCCUGGGGUUGCAUUUUAAAUCUGCACUGUCGCACUAGUCCACAGAACGAGGGCUUCAUCGACUACCCAUAAUGUCUGCACGCUGUUAGAGGAAAUUCUGGUGGGAAAAAAAUGCAAAUAGGUUUAUGCAAAAAUAAUGAAAUUUGCUUCAUAAUGCAGGUGUGAUGCAUGUAUGUGUUUAUAGUGCAGAGGUGUGAUGCAAAACACUCUUAUGCNUGUUAUUUUUAAUUAUCUUGAAGAUUACCUUAGCUUGAAGAAACAGGUGGAUUGAUAGGAUUUGAUAGGUUACCAAAUGAUUUUUAUUAUUAUUAUUCUUUUUAAGCAUUAUAUGUCAGCUGUGGUCAUUUCACACGAGUAAUUGGAGUAGGGCUAUUCAGUGUUGUUCAGUCUAUUUAAUGUAAGUUUUAAUUGUUCAUAAGUCUUGCUAAUAUUAGUGCAGCCAAAUUUCUUUUUAUGAUGUUGACUCUUUCAGAUAUGUGUUCACUGGCACUAUGAACGAGAAAACAAAAAUAACAUUAGUUGGUAGAAUUCACUAGAAAUUUUUCAAAGAUGUAAUAAUAAUAAGGUAACACUUUAUUAUAGGGAUUAAUUCUCACUAUUAAUAGUUGUUCAUUAGCAUACAUAUUACUAACACACUGGCUGUUUAUUAGUAGGCCUACUUAUAAACCACAUAUUCUGCAUGACAAUAUUCUACAUCCUUAAUCCUACCCAAUACCUAAACUUAAAAACUACCUUAUUAACUAUUAAUAAGCAGUAAUUAGGAGUUCAUUAAGGUAAAAGUCAUAGUUAAUGGUUAGUUUAUAGUGAGAAUUGGACAUUAAAAUAAAGUGUGACCAAUAUGUGACCCUGGACCACAAAAAACAAAACAAAGUCAUAAGUGUCAGUUUUCUGAAAACUAAGUAAGCUUUCCAUUGAUGUAUGGUUUGUUAGGAUAAUACAAUAUUUGGCUGAGAUACAACUAUUUGAAAAUCUGGAAUCUGAGGGUGUAAAAAAAAAAAAAAUCAAAAUGUUGAGAAAAUCACAUUUAAAGUUGUCCAAAUGAAGUUCUUAGCAAUGCAUAUUACUAAUAAAAAAUUUAUACAAGUUUUGAUAUAUUUACAGUAGGAAAUGUACAAAAUAUCUUCAUGGAACAUGAUCUUUACUUAAUAUCCCAAUGACUUUUGGCAUAAAAAAUAAAAUAAAAUAAAUAAAUAUUUAUAAUGACCCAUGCAAUGUAUUGUUGGCUAUUGCUACAAAUAUACCUGUACUACUUAUGACUGGUUUUGUGGUCCAGGGUCACAUAUAAUAAUUAUAUAAUAAUAAUAAUAAUAAUAAUAAUAAUAAUAAUAAUAAUAAUAAUAAUAAUAAUAAUAAUAAUAAUAAUAGAAGUAGCCGUAGAUUUUGUUUGUUUCUUUUUUACAUUUCUAUUAUUAUAAUUACAGUUAUAAUUAGUUCCAUUCUUUUAAUUUAUGUAGAUGUUGCUGAAUUUCCAAUAACAUGUUUUCCAAGUAGGCUGCAGUACCACCCAUAUUAUUCUCCAAUUAUUUUUUAUUUAUUUUUUCCUUCAGGACAGCAAGUGAGUGUUGCAGUUCAUUUGAAACGAUUGUCACUGGAAUUGGUUUUGCAAGGCACUGAGAGAGUGAUGGCCCCAGUCAUUAUGUCUCUGCCCGCUUAGCAUGCUGGUAAUUAGGGACGGAGAGAGAGGGAGAGCAAGGAAAAGAGAAAACGAGAGGAGAGGAGAGGUUGCCACUCUGGUUCACAAGGGUGAAAGAGACUUUAUUAAGAGUCAGAGACAGAUCACAACUGCUAAGUGACCCACCAAGGUCAGGAUCAAGGGCAGGCUUUGUAAUUAGUAUGCUUUUCUAGGAAGGAGGCUACAGUGCCAUUGUUCUGCCACAAUCAAAUUAGCCCCUCCACUACGGACCCUGUAUCACGACCUCAGGGCCUGGACCGCUUCUUCUGACAGAAUAGCAAUGAUAGAAGAGAAUAUGUACUCUGGCUCUGUAAUCCAGUGGUACUUCCAAAUUUCAGAUUUUAUGUAUUUAUCUGCGACUUGGGUAUUAGACUUACUAGACCAGUAUUUCCUCAUGUCCCCUUCAUUGAGGCUCAGGUAGCCCUUCAUUGAUACCAAGCCACAAAUGUUCCAUUUAUCUAAUAUUACACCAUGUCUUAACUAGACACAAUGUGAUAAAAAUCUGUCAACAAGCUAGUUUGUCUGUGACAUGUCUAAAAAUUGUAGUCACAAAAUUAGUCACAAAUCACAGCCAAACAGAAGAUCAUGGGGGUGGGCUCUCUCUGCAUCUCUCCUUCUGUCUUGCACUUAGAAAGAAAUGGAUAAGUGCAUAAAAUAAACCAUUUUAACAUUAUUCUUAAUACUGUAAAUACACACACACACACACACACACACACACACACACACACACACACACACACACACACACACACACACACACACACACACACACACACACACACACACACACACACACACACACACACACACACACACACACACACACACACACACAC